UACGGAGUGUGCAAGCGUUACUCGGAAUCACUGGGCAUAAAGCGCGCGUAGGCGGGUAUUCAAGUCGGGUGUGAAAUCCCCCAGCUCAACUGGGGAACUGCAUCCGAUACUGUCUGUCUUGAGGACGAGAGGGGAGAGUGGAACUUCUGGUGGAGCGGUGAAAUGCGUAGAUAUCAGGAGGAACACCGGUGGCGAAGGCGGGUCUCUGGGCCGAUACUGACGCUGAGGAGCGAAAGCGUGGGGAGCGAACAGG
rnacentral:rRNA from 1 species